UUAUUCUUAUGGGCCAAUUACAUAUAAGUCCACUUUGAGACAUUUUUUCUCACAUAGAUCCACCCCAACAUUUUUACCCACAUAAGUCCACCCAAAUCUAAAUAAAGUUUUGUAUAAAGUAUUAAAGUUCAACAUAAUUACAGACUGCCAUCCAACAAAAAAAAUUAGAUUUUCUCCUUUAUAUUUACAAGAAUGCCACUAGUAUAAAAAGUCAACAACCAUUCUCAUUUCGGAACAGUCUCCGGCGGACCUCCGGCGAGAUUUCCAGCGGACCUCCGGCGAGGUUUUCGGCCGACCUCCGGCGAGAUUUCCGACUGACCUCCGACGAGAUUUCCGACUGACCUCCGGCGAGGUUUCCGGCCGACCUCCGACGAUGACAAAAAUUACUACUACCAGCUAAAAAAGCUACUACCACCAGCUAUAAAAGCUACUACCACCGCCUACAAAAGCUACUACAAAAGUUUCCGGCCGACCUCCGGCGAGGUUUCCGACCGACCUCCGGUGAGGUUUCCGACCGACCUCCGGUGAGGUUUCCGGCCGACCUCCGACGAUGACAAAAAUUACUACUACAAGCUAAAAAAGCUACUACCACCAGCUAUAAAAGCUACUACCACCGCCUACAAAAGCUACUACUGUGAGGUUUCUGAUGAAAACAAAAGCUACUACCACAAGCUACAAAAGCUACUACCACCGCCUACAAAAGCUACUACUGUGAGGUUUUCGACGAACACAAAACUACUACCACCAGCGACAAAAGCUACUACCACCAGCUACAAAAGCUACUACCACCGCCUACAAAAGCUACUACUGUGAGGUUUCCGAUGAACACAAAAGCUACUACCACCAGCCACAAAAAAUACUACCACCGCCUACAAAAACUACUACUGUGAGGUUUUCGACGAACACAAAAACUACUACCACCAGCCACAAAAGCUACUACCACCGCCUACAAAAGCUACUACCACAGCCUACAAAAGCUACUACUGUGAGCUUUUCGACGAACACAAAAAAUACUACCACCAGCCACAAAAGCUACUACCACCAUCUACAAAAACUAUUACCACCGUCUACAAAAGCUACUACGUCCAUUGAUUCAUCAAAUUACACAACUAAAUUAGCAGUCAGUGAUGCGUGAUCAAGAUUGAACAAGAAUAGAAAUGAAUCGGAAUACUCAUAAAACCACAGCCCUUGGAUCGGCCUGUGUCCUUGUCAGAAAUGACAACCGCCUCAAGGCGGUGGAUCCUCGAUAGAUCUGCACCUCACCGACGAAUCACCUUCGUCGUCACCGUCUCGAACUCAUAGGAGAAGGUGCGGAGAAGAAGAUGACGAGGCUGAUCGGAGAAGGUGCGGCCAGUGAUGACGGGGCUGAUCAGAGGAUCGGAAAAGGUAGAGGAAGGUCCACACACACUGGGGAGAUCUACUAAGGCGCAUAAAUCUCUGCUUCCAACGGCGGCGGGCGCCGAACAAGUGGUGGAUGACGUCGUCGGAGUUGGUUGGACCUUGUAGAUCCGGCUGCGCGUUGAGGAGAUGCAGUCGAGGUCGAAGCGGAGGUCGUCGAGGAGUCGUCGACGGUGGAUCCAGAUGUCAUCGUCAAGGCGACGGCAUCGUCAGAGCCGGAGAUGCAAUCAAGGCUUAGUCGGAAGUAGCGCCGAGGAGGCGGCGGCUUCGCCAUGGCAGUGGGUUCGCGAGAGAGAGAGAGAGAGAGAGAGAGAGAGAGAGAGAGAGAGAGAGAGAGAGAGAGAGAGAGAGAGAGAGAGAGAGAGAGAGAGAGAGAGAG
rnacentral:lncRNA from 1 species